rnacentral:rRNA from 1 species
GACGAACGCUGGCGGCGUGCUUAACACAUGCAAGUCGAACGAUGAAGCCGGAGCUUGCUCUGGUGAAUUAGUGGCGAACGGGUGAGUAACACGUGAGUAACCUGCCCUUGACUCUGGGAUAACUGCUAGAAAUGGUAGCUAAUACCGGAUACGACCCCCGGAGGCAUCUCCAGGGGGUGGAAAGAAUUUCGGUCAAGGAUGGACUCGCGGCCUAUCAGCUAGUUGGUGAGGUAACGGCUCACCAAGGCGACGACGGGUAGCCGGCCUGAGAGGGUGACCGGCCACACUGGGACUGAGACACGGCCCAGACUCCUACGGGAGGCAGCAGUGGGGAAUAUUGCACAAUGGGCGGGAGCCUGAUCCAGCAACGCCGCGUGAGGGAUGACGGCCUUCGGGUUGUAAACCUCUUUCAGCACCGACGAAGCGCAAGUGACGGUAGGUGCAGAAGAAGGACCGGCCAGCUACGUGCCAGCAGCCGCAGUAACAC